AUGCUUCGGUUGCUAGAUCUUUGAUGGUGGUAUCGAAUUUCUGUAUCUCGGUGAAAAUAGUGCUAAAUUUUAACCAGAAUUCUAAGUUCUCCUCUAGAAGUUUAUCAAUGCUCAUCCGGAACUUCUCUUCUAUGGCUGAGGAGAUCCAGUUUCUGACGCAGAUAUCUAAUUUCUUCAUCUUUUGAAGCAAUAGCACGCUUUAGUUCCUGCAACUGCAAGGAUGUAUCAAAGUCACUGUCUUGAUUUUUCUUCCCCAGCUCACUGUGACAAUGUCUCUUGGCAUGAUUUAAGAGCUGCUUCUGCCAUCAAACGACGAGCUUCAUUGUCAUCAAUAACAGUAACUUCACCAAGCUCAUCUUGUAAACUGAAAACUCUCUCUUGUAACUCAUUGAUCUGCUCCUCAGUUUCCCAGUACGUUGCAAUGGCAUUAUCAUAAGAGCUCUUUACAAACUCUUUCACAGUUUGCAGUCCCAGAAUCUGUUUCUGAAGCUUGUCAACCUCUUCAAGUGCCUCCUUUUUGCUCAGUCCAGAUUUAGGAGCUCUGGCAUUAGCUUCUGCAGUGGAUGUCUUCUUGGAAUACAACUUCUUCGGUGCUGCUACAUUUGCACUUUUAAAAUCUUUAACCGGAGGCUUUGGGAUGCUUGGUGGUUUGAAACCUUCUGGUAGUUUUCUGGGGACCCUUGGUGACAUUGGUGAUGCUUCAUCAUCAUCAUCCUCCAUGAAGGUGACUUGAUCUGGGCAGACAGAAGCAAUGGUGGUGUUUGCAUUUUGCAACUCAGUUGAUAUGUGAUCAUAUCGUUCAGCUAAAGCUCGGGAUCUUGUUGAGCGAAGCAAGAACAAGGAAGCUCUGUUCCUGUUAAUCUGCCUAAUUAAAGAAGACGACGUGGAUUCCAUGACAUGACUGAAAGAUUGGAAAGAGAUUAAAUCAAACAGAGAAGAGACAGAGAGAGGGAGAGGGAGAGAGAGAGAACGUGCAAGUAAGAAACUUGGUGCAAAUUAUGAGGAUGAUGGAGGGGAGCAAAUCUCGGCCGAAUUUAUUGUGCGAACCUUCCUUUCUGAAAAAAGCGUUGCAGCCAAAACAACAACAAAAAAGCUUCGCGUAUAUUGUUAUUGUAUUACACAUAUAAGCCUUUUCUGUUCAUACAUUGUUUGUUAUCCCAA